ACUCUAGUAGUUUAGAAAAACAUUGGUCUUGUAAACCAAAGAACGAAGGUUUCCCCCUUCCUAGAGUC
rnacentral:tRNA from 1 species